rnacentral:rRNA from 1 species
UACGAAGGGGGCUAGCGUUGUUCGGAGUCACUGGGCGUAAAGGGCGCGUAGGCGGCUUUAUAAGUCGGGGGUGAAAGCCUGUGGCUCAACCACAGAAUUGCCUUCGAUACUGUAGAGCUUGAGACCGGAAGAGGUAAGUGGAACUGCGAGUGUAGAGGUGAGAUUCGUAGAUAUUCGCAAGAACACCAGUGGCGAAGGCGGCUUACUGGUCCGGUUCUGACGCUGAGGCGCGAAAGCGUGGGGAGCAAACAGG